rnacentral:rRNA from 1 species
UAGCAUAUCAAUAAGCGGAGGAAAAGAAACUAACAAGGAUUCCCCUAGUAACUGCGAGUGAAGCGGGAAGAGCUCAAAUUUAAAAUCUGACGGUCAUCUGGCCGCUCCGAGUUGUAAUCUAGAGAAGUGCUAUCCGCGCUGGACCGUGUACAAGUCUCCUGGAAUGGAGCAUCAUAGAGGGUGAGAAUCCCGUCUUUGACAUGGACUGCCAGGGCUUUUGUGAUGCGCUCUCAAAGAGUCGAGUUGUUUGGGAAUGCAGCUCAAAACGGGUGGUAAAUUCCAUCUAAAGCUAAAUAUUGGCGAGAGACCGAUAGCGAACAAGUACCGUGAGGGAAAGAUGAAAAGAACUUUGGAAAGAGAGUUAAACAGUACGUGAAAUUGCUGAAAGGGAAACGCUUGAAGUCAGUCGCGUCGUCCAGGGAUCAACCUCGCUUUUGCUUGGUGCACUUCCUGGUUUGACGGGUCAGCAUCAAUUUUGACCGUUGGAAAAAGGUCAAGGGAAUGUGGCAUCCUUGGAUGUGUUUAUAGCCCUUGGUCGCAUACAAUGGUUUCGGGAUUGAGGAACUCAGCACGCCGCAAGGCCGGGUGUUACACCACGUACGUGCUUAGGAUGCUGACAUGUAUAAUGGCUUUAAUCGACCCGUCUUGAAACACGGACCAAGGAGUCUAACAUGCCUGCGAGUGUUUGGGUGGAAAACCCGAGCGCGCAAUGAAAGUGAAAGGUCGAGAUCCCUGUCGUGGGGAGCAUCGACGCCCGGACCAGACCUUUUGUGACGGUUCCGCGGUGGAGCAUGUAUGUUGGGACCCGAAAGAUGGUGAACUAUGCCUGAAUAGGGUGAAUCCAGAGGAAACUCUGGUGGAGGCUCGUAGCGAUUCUGACGUGCAAAUCGAUCGUCAAAUUUGGGUAUAGGGGCGAAAGACUAAUCGAACCAUC